UACCAGACUCCUACGGGAGGCAGCAGUGGGGAAUAUUGCACAAUGGGGGAAACCCUGAUGCAGCGACGCCGCGUGAGUGAAGAAGUGUUUCGGUAUGUAAAGCUCUAUCAGCAGGGAAGAAAAUGACGGUACCUGAUUAAGAAGCCCCGGCUAACUACGUGCCAGCAGCCGCGGUAAUACGUAGGGGGCAAGCGUUAUCCGGAUUUACUGGGUGUAAAGGGAGCGUAGACGGUGAUGCAAGUCAGAAGUGAAAGCCCGGGGCUCAACUCCGGGACUGCUUUUGAAACUGUGUGACUGGAGUGCAGGAGAGGUAAGCGGAAUUCCUGGUGUAGCGGUGAAAUGCGUAGAUAUCAGGAGGAACACCAGUGGCGAAGGCGGCCUGCUGGACGAUGACUGACGUUGAGGCUCGAAAGCGUGGGGAGCAAACAGGAUUAGAUACCCCAGUA
rnacentral:rRNA from 1 species